rnacentral:rRNA from 1 species
GAUGAACGCUGGCGGCGUGCCUAAUACAUGCAAGUCGAGCGAACAGAUGAGGAGCUUGCUCCUCUGACGUUAGCGGCGGACGGGUGAGUAACACGUGGAUAACCUACCUAUAAGACUGGGAUAACUUCGGGAAACCGGAGCUAAUACCGGAUAAUAUAUUGAACCGCAUGGUUCAAUAGUGAAAGACGGUUUUGCUGUCACUUAUAGAUUGAUCCGCGCCGCAUUAGCUAGUUGGUAAGGUAACGGCUUACCAAGGCAACGAUGCGUAGCCGACCUGAGAGGGUGAUCGGCCACACUGGAACUGAGACACGGUCCAGACUCCUACGGGAGGCAGCAGUAGGGAAUCUUCCGCAAUGGGCGAAAGCCUGAAGGAGCAACGCCGCGUGAGUGAUGAAGGUCUUCGGAUCGUAAAACUCUGUUAUUAGGGAAGAACAAAUGUGUAAGUAACUAUGCACGUCUUGACGGUACCUAAUCAGAAAGCCACGGCUAACUACGUG